rnacentral:rRNA from 1 species
UGGCGACCGGCGCACGGGUGCGUAACGCGUAUGCAACCUACCUUUAACAGGGGGAUAACACUGAGAAAUUGGUACUAAUACCCCAUAAUAUCAUAGAAGGCAUCUUUUAUGGUUGAAAAUUCCGAUGGUUAGAGAUGGGCAUGCGUUGUAUUAGCUAGUUGGUGGGGUAACGGCCCACCUAGUCUUCGAUGGAUAGGGGUUCUGAGAGGAAGGUCCCCCACAUUGGAACUGAGACACGGUCCAA